GUGGCGGGGGAGGCUGUGAUGUCAGGAAACUGUCGGCCAAACACUCAAAGGGAUGUUUACAUUUAUUACCUUCUUGGGUAAGGCAAAACUUCGCUGCCACAGGAGGCGCUCUUCUGGUCGUUGCACUCUUCCAGAUUUCGGGCGCGGUAGCCACAAUCCUCCUCAGAAAGCAGUUCAAAUCUUUUGGCUGCAGGGAUAUGCCGCCCAUCGAGACACUCCUCUUCUGAGAAGGGAGACGCCCCCCGCCCACGUCCUAUUGCUGGGUCUCUUUACGUCUGGGAUCAAGUGUUUAUCACCUCAAGGUCUGCUGUGAAAGCUGAAGAAAUACCUUUCCCAGCAUAUACCGAGAAACAUCAUUAACAUGUAUAUAUGUGGAACAGUACUUAAAUGUACAUAGGCUGAGUACUUCACUCGGCCUGCUAUAACAUAUCAUAUUUCCCUGAGAGAUAACUAUGGGGUGUAAGUUGAUCUGUAAAUAUAUGGAACUGUCCUUAAAUAGAUGGGUUUUGUUAGUGGCUUAAUAUUUGGUGGUGCCUCUUACAUGGCCCGUUUCUGUGGUUGAAGAAUCUCGGUGAAAAUGACGACUUUGUGUCAAGAAAUGAGAAUAAACAUAUGUGUAUAAUAGACAUGUGUAUAAUGGUCAUUCUUUCAUGUGCAAAUGAAUGGCUGGGAAGAAAUCAGAGGAAAAUUACUCUGACGAAUGAAUAUUCUAAUUUAUUUUCAUAUUUAUUGUAUUACAGCCACUUACGCAAAUAAAUUACCGUAUUUGUUUUUGGUAUUUAAAAAUAAUAAUAAAAGAUUGUUAUGUUAAUGACGAUAUGAUCGCCAUAUAUAGCAUCGUUGAAAAUAGCAAAAGAAUGAAAGAAAUAACACAUAAUCAUUUUAAUCAUCAUUAAUGUUUUUUAUGGCAACCACUGGGUACGUUUGGCAGUUACUGUUUUACUAUCAGCUUACUUGACUAGCUAGACUGUGGCAAGUUUCUAAUUUACAUACUAUUAAAUCGUUUUUUUUAGGUCUAUUUCCUCAAUGUAUAUUUUCUUAACUCAGAAUGGAAUCAAAACGAGAGAAUUCUCCUUUUUCACCAUCUUUCUCAAGCCAAAUAACGCUAUUGCAAGUAAGUCAUUCAACAAAAUACAUUUUAAAUAUACGCUUGCAUUUUUGUACAACUUUUGUGAAUGGAGAAGCAAGAGCAUAGGUGGGAGAAGGAUGACUUAGUAUUUAAUUUUAGAUCUUAAACAUUUGAACCAAAGCACUGUGUGUGUGUGUGUGUGCAUGUGUGUGUGUGAGUGUGUGUGUGAGUGUGUGUGUGUGUGUGUGUGUGUGUGUGUGUGUGUGUGUGUGUGUGUGUGUGUGUGUGUGUGUGUGUGUGUGUGUGUGUGUGUGUGUGUGUGUGUGUGUGUUUGUCUUUUGUUUUUUUCCGUUAAUGUGUGUCCAAAUACGUGUGUAGGUAUACAUAUAUAUAAGCUCCAUGUCUAUGUACAAUAUGUAUAUGUAUAUAUAAUCCCACACACACGCUUUGAAAUAUUUUAGCACUAUGUACUCAGGAAAUUAUGUAUUCAACCAAAUGAUCUUUCUUAUUAAUUAUAGUAUUUUACGUGCAAAGCGGUCUAACCUCCUGCAAAGGACAUUAUUCUGUUGCAGCCAAUGGUUGCUCUACUAGUAUAUGAACUGUAUUCUUUGGAACCCAUAUAGAAAAGAUAUGAAUGAGGAAGCAAAUGUCUUGUAUUGUGAAUAUAGACAUUCCUAUUCAUACCUUUUCUAGUACUUGUAUAUGUUGAAUCACGCCCUCUACGUGUGCUAAAACCAGUAAAUAUUAAAUCAAGAUUAAAUGUUUUGUACAGAUGAAAGUCCGUGGUGGAAAAUUCAUUGAGAACGUUAGCCGAGUGAUAAGCGCUUGGCUAGAUUCAGGAAAGUCUUUCAUAUUAUUUCACUUGUUUUAUUGAUGUUUUUUUUUUAAUUUGGUUCACCGUGUGUAAUUUCAUAUCUUGUACUGCCGUAUCCAUGUGGUUCGUUCAAGCUUCAAUGUCCCUCAUAGAUUUAAAUAAUGUUGUCCGAUUUCUGUCCUUGAAUAUAUAAUUUUUUGCAAUUUGUAAGCACAAUAAAAAAGUGUUUUAAAUUAUU